UACGUAGGGGGCAAGCGUUGUCCGGAAUCAUUGGGCGUAAAGCGCGCGUAGGCGGCCCUGUAAGUCCGUUGUGAAAGUCAAAGGCUCAACCUUUGAAAGCCGAUGGAUACUGCAGGGCUAGAGUCCGGAAGAGGCGAGUGGAAUUCCUGGUGUAGCGGUGGAAUGCGCAGAUAUCAGGAGGAACACCGGUGGCGAAGGCGGAUCUCUGGGCCAUUACUGACGCUGAGGAGCGAAAGCGUGGGGAGCGAACAGG
rnacentral:rRNA from 1 species